rnacentral:misc_RNA from 1 species
AACCUAGCACACCUGCGGUGUGUACCUGCGGAAGGAUCAUUACCGAGUUUACAACUCCCAAACCCCUGUGAACAUACCUAUACGUUGCCUCGGCGGAUCAGCCCGCGCCCUGUAAAAAGGGACGGCCCGCCCGAGGACCCUAAACUCUGUUUUUAGUGGAACUUCUGAGUAAAACAAACAAAUAAAUCAAAACUUUCAGCAAUGGAUCU